rnacentral:rRNA from 1 species
AACGAACGCUUGCUGCAUGCUUUAUACAUGCAAGUCGAACGAAGGCCCUAGCUUGCUAGGUGUCCUUAGUGGCGCACGGGUGAGUAACACGUGGGAACAUACCUCAUAGUACGGAAUAACUGCGGGAAACUGUAGCUAAUACCGUAUAUUCCAGAAAUGGGAAAGAUUUAUCGCUAUGAGAUUGGCCCGCGCAAGAUUAGCUUGUUGGUAAGGUAAUGGCUUACCAAGGCUCCGAUCUUUAGCUGGUUUGAGAGGAUGAUCAGCCACACUGGGACUGAGACACGGCCCAGACUCCUACGGGAGGCAGCAGUAGGGAAUAUUGGACAAUGGGGGAAACCCUGAUCCAGCAAUGCAGCGUGAGUGACGAAGGCCUUAGGGUUGUAAAACUCUUUCAUCGGUGAGGAUAAUGACAGUAGCCGAAGAAGAAGGACCGGCUAAUUCCGUGCCAGCAGCCGCGGUAAUACGGAAGGUCCUAGCGUUGUUCGGAAUUACUGGGCGUAAAGCGCAUGUAGGCGGAACAAAAAGUUAGAAGUGAAAUCCCUGGGCUCAACCUAGGAAUGGCUUUUAAAACUUUUGUUCUGGAAUUCAGGAGAGGAAAAUGGAAUUUCCAGUGUAGAGGUGAAAUUCGUAGAUAUUGGAAGGAACACCAGUGGCGAAGGCGAUUUUCUGGACUGAUAUUGACGCUGAGAUGCGAAGGCAUGGGUAGCAAACGGGAUUAGAUACCCCGGUAGUCCAUGCAGUAAACGAUGGGUGCUAGUCGUCGGACUUUUGUUCGGUGUCGUAGCUAACGCGUUAAGCACCCCGCCUGGGGGAGUACGGUCGCAAGAUUAAAACUCAAAUGAAUUGACGGGGACCCGCACAAGCAGUGGAAGCAUGUGGUUUAAUUCGACGCAACGCGAAGAACCUUACCAGCGUUGGACAUGGGAAGUGCCGGUUACAGAAUGGUAACCUUCAGUUCGGCUG